UCGGGCCGAAACAUAGGAAUCCACCCCGUUUCUCUGCCUUGUGGAGCCCACGAACCACUCCUCUCUGUCUCACCUUCUCCCUCCCCCCGUGCACACUUCCGUUCCUCCAUGGCCUGGCGAGAUCCACCUCGCCCGCCUCGACCGGCAGCGAUGCGCACCCUGCCCCAGACCGGCGGCGAUGCAGCCCCGCGCCCUGCUUCUCCCUCCCCGCGUUGUCCUGCGCCCCGCCGCGUCGAUUCCUCGCCGGGUCGAUGCAUCCCGCGACUGGGACCUUCAAUUCCUGUCAGAUCCAGGCCCUUCUCGUCCAACGACGACAAAAAAAACAAGACGGCGGCUGCUCCGGCCGCCCCUCGCAGAUUCCAACUAGCGACGCCCCCUCUGCUCGCGCGCCCCUUGGAGAUCCCCUACAAUUCAACUCCCUGGCCACGCAGUACAGGGAGGAUCCUCUCGUCCACAGCGUGGCCUGUAGGGGUCAUGUGGACGACGGUGAGAAGCACAGCGAGGUGGAUGUGGUGCAGUACCUUACUGUAGAUUUUGCUCCCGCUCUUCAUCCACAGGAAAGUUGCCUGCAAUAUCUUUUUUGGGCAUAUAUUGGCGGCAACUAGACAGCAGAGGGGAGGAGAGAGGUAUUGGAGUAUCGACAACUAGCAAGCGAAGCAAGAGGAAAAGCGAAGGGGGCAGCGCCAUCCGUUCGCCGCGACCACCUAGCAGGGUGGCGCUAGAUCUGGGAAACAUUGUCACGAGUGGUCGAGGAACUGGACCGCAUCACCGGGCCUCACUAAAUUCUAAAACGAUGUCAAGGCAUCAUUUUUGAGGUUUUAUGCACACGCCCAAGCAAGAAGCUUCAACAUCCACUUUCAGUUCUUGAUGCAUGGUCAUGGCCAUCAGAGGAGACGGGCGCGAGAUGGAGCUUUCAUCCAGAUCGAGAUUUGGGAGGACGGAUGCAUGGGAAGGAAAAGGGAUCUCAUGUUCUUUUCCCGCAAAUGAUCCGGGCGGGGAUGUGUGGGUUGCUACGCGGGACAGGGGGCCAAGUGCUUGAACUUUUCUUUUUUUUUCGUGUUUGGACGGACGGGCGGAAUCUUUCUUUAAAUGGGGUGUGUGCCAGGGAACGUCAGGGAGCACAUGUUUGCUCCCUAGUCGCGUCCCAACAAGUUUUGCCCAGCAUCGGUGAGGGAGGGGCGUCUUCGGCUCGCUUCAAUACUUGUAGUCGUCGCUAGAUGGUCUACGGAUCUGGAUGUAAUUUUUUAUUUAUAGUGUUUGAUGUACUAUCAUAAUUAAAGAUGAAUAUAUAAAAAAAUU